UACAGAGGUCUCAAGCGUUGUUCGGAUUCAUUGGGCGUAAAGGGUGUGUAGGCGGGCUGUUAAGUCAGUGGUGAAAUCUCCGGGCUCAACCCGGAAACUGCCAUUGAUACUAUCAGUCUUGAAUCUUGUUGAGGUAGGCGGAAUAUAUCAUGUAGCGGUGAAAUGCUUAGAUAUGAUAUAGAACACCGAUUGCGAAGGCAGCUUACUAAACAAGCAUUGACGCUGAGGCACGAAAGCGUGGGGAUCAAACAGG
rnacentral:rRNA from 1 species